CUGAGGAUGCUGGCACGUCAUUCAUUUCUGUCCACACUACAGCACAGAGACAGGCUAUGUGAUUGUUCCUGUGCUCAGUGGAAGCUGGUCUCAAUGGAAAAAAUAUUUCAAAUUAUUGGCAUUUUGUGUAGUAGAAAAUAAGAAAUGAAGUGUUAAAUUUUGGGUCACAGUGUACAAAAACACUAUGGGAAAAACAGCAUGCAUUGUUUCAGCUGAUGAAAACCAAUAAACAACAAAACAAAGGCCCACGGAAGCCAAAGGAACUGCUAGAGACAAUGUGAAGUCCUGUUUAAGAGAAAAGAAGAAAUAAGUCUGCACAGCACUAACAGGUACUCAGGAAUGGUAACUUCAGGAGAGCUUGUGGGAGAGGAUGAAUUCUGCUGCAGCCUUUCUACAUCAAAAAAAAAGACCCUUUUUAGCACAAGAUCCUUAUGCUACUACUGAAGUGCAAAAAUGUCCUGGCAUCUCUGAACAAAUAGAAAAGCCUGUCCCAGUAAUGCGAAUUCCCCCGAGGCACCGAAGUUUGCUGGGCAGGCGCCCCGCUUGCGAGCGCGGAAGCCGCCGGCUCGCAGUCCCAGAGGACCCCUCCGCUGCGAGCAGCUCGAGGGGCUGACUUCGUACACGGUUCAGAAAGACGCCAUUUCAGGCAUUCGCUGGCUUUUCCCAAGCCGGACACAGCAGCUCCCCGGAAAACUAAGUGUUAUUUUUUCCUGCCGCACCUGAGCGCAAAAGCG
rnacentral:lncRNA from 1 species